rnacentral:rRNA from 1 species
UACAGAGAUGGCAACCGUUGUUCGGAAUCACUGGGCUUAAAGCGCACGUAGGCGGGAUGGUAAGAUGAUUGUGAAAUGCCCUGGCUUACCCAGGGAACUGCAGUCAUUACUGCCGUUCUGGAGUACGAGAGGGGAUAGUGGAACUCCUAGUGGAGCGGUGAAAUGCGUUGAUAUUAGGAGGAACGCCGGUGGCGAAAGCGACUAUCUGGUUCGAUACUGACGCUGAGGUGCGAAAGCUAGGGGAGCAAACGGG